GGACACCGGAAGUAAGGGAUGCUAUUCUAGUGAUGGGGUUUUUCCCUCCUGGCCUCCUCUAUGUCUGCUGGGCCAAUGAACUCCCUCCAUGCUGGUACCACGUUGCCUGACCCCUCCUGCUGUGAGAUCACCAGGACAUGGGAGGGACCACUAGACAUGAACUGGACCAGAUCCUCAAAACAGGUAGGAAUGUACUGACUUCUCCUGCUUUGUUCUGGUAGAAAUCUACUGAUAUCUCUUGCUUUGUUCUGGUAGGAAUGUACUGACUUCUCCUGCUUUGUUCAGGAUGAUCUUCUCCCUGGCCAGCUCCUCCAAUACCAUCCUCUGAAGGAGAGGAGCAUUGGCCCCCCUCAAUACUGACACCAUCUCACCUCCCUGAUCAGACACAUCACAAGGAGGCUAACAACGGCACGACAUGGACCACACCACUGCUGGUACACAUCUACCACUGGGGGGCGCCAGAUUCACAAGAUAUUACAACACUAACAGCCAUUUCAGUAGAGUAAGGCUGUUACUAUUGACUCUUAUUUACACGUUGCUGUAAUUUGUUGGAACUGCAUCAGACAGACAGAGUGAAUGAUGAAGAGAACAUCUCACAUGAAACAAGGGACAAGAGAACAUCCCACAUGAAAACAAUGGUCAACACUAAAAUCCAUAAUUUUUAAGAGAGCUCAUGAAUGUUACCUGUUAACCCUUUAGUUGCCAGCAUCUCCUCCCAUGCCUCUUGGUUUGUGACAGACAUCUGGAGAAAGUAGAACCGAGAACAGCAGUGUUACUUGAUGUCAGGAUGAUCCCCCACCAUGGAUAUCCACAUGAAAUGUAUGUUCAACCAACCUGUAAG